AUACUGAUAUUACAGCUGUCUCUAGCUGGAGACUCAAUCGGGUUACAAAAAAUGACAUCAGGAAACGAUACUGGCCAUUUCUUUGGGUCGUUUGUAAAGUCACAGAUACUGUACGGACA